UUACGGCCACAUUACGCUGAAACGACGGCUCCUGUGCUAUCACUGAAGCUAAGCAACAUCGAGUAUGGUCAGUACUUAGGUGGGUGACUGCUUAGGAAUACCAGGUGUUGUAA